rnacentral:rRNA from 1 species
AGUGGCGUACGGGUGAGUAACACGUGGGUAAUCUACCCUUUGGUGGGGAAUAACUCUGGGAAACCGGAGCUAAUACCGCAUAAUCCCGAGAGGGAAAAGCAGCAAUGCGCCGAAGGAGGAGCCCGCGGCCGAUUAGCUAGUUGGUAGGGUAACAGCCUACCAAGGCAAAGAUCGGUAGCCGGCCUGAGAGGGCACACGGCCACACUGGCACUGAAACACGGGCCAGACUCCUACGGGAGGCAGCAGUGGGGAAUCUUGCACAAUGGGGGAAACCCUGAUGCAGCGACGCCGCGUGAGCGAUGAAGCCCUUCGGGGUGUAAAGCUCUUUCGGCAGGGAAGAUUAUGACGGUACCUGCAGAAGCAGCUGCGGCUAACUACGUGCCAGCAGCCGCGGUAAUACGUAGGCAGCAAGCGUUGUUCGGAGUUACUGGGCGUAAAGGGUGUGUAGGCGGCUUUUUAAGUUUGGUGUGAAAUCUCCCGGCUCAACCGGGAGGGUGCGCCGAAUACUGAGAGGCUAGAGUGCGGGAGAGGAAAGUGGAAUUCCUGGUGUAGCGGUGAAAUGCGUAGAUAUCAGGAGGAACACCGGUGGUGUAGACGGCUUUCUGGACCGUAACUGACGCUGAAACACGAAAGCGUGGGUAGCAAACAGGAUUAGAUACCCCGGUAGUCCUGGCCGUAAACGAUGACCAUCAGGUGUGCGGAGUAUCGACCCUCUGCGCGCCGGCGCUAACGCACUAAAUGGUCCGCCUGGGGAGUACGGUCGCAAGAUUAAAACUCAAAGGAAUUGACGGGGACCCGCACAAGCGGUGGAGCAUGUGGUUUAAUUCGA